GUGCUAAGGUAGCAUAAUAAUUUGUCUCCUAAUUAGAGACUGGAAUGAAUGGAAUCACGAGAGUCUAACUGUUUCUUUUCUACAUAUAAAAACUAACCUUUAAGUGAAGAGGCUUAAAUACUAUAAAAAGACAAAAAGACCCUAUUGAGCUUCAUUAUAAACUAUGUCUUCAUAUUAAUAAUUUUGUUGGGGCAACAUGAGAGCACCUAAAUCUUCUCUUUUUAAUUUUUAUAAUACAGAUCCGCUUUGCGAUCAAUAAAUAAAGCUACCAUAGGG
rnacentral:rRNA from 1 species